AACGUAGGACACAAGCGUUAUCCGGAGUUACUGGGCGUAAAGGGCGUGUAGGCGGACGUGUAAGUCUAUUCUGAAAGCUCCUGGCUAAACUGGGAGAGGCGAAUGGAGACUGCAUAUCUAGAGUGAGGAAGAGGAAAGUGGAAUUCCGCGUGUAGUGGUGAAAUGCGUAGAUAUUGGGAGGAACACCAGUGGCGAAGGCGGCUACCUGGACCGGUUCUGACGCUGAGGCGCGAAAGCGUGGGUAGCAAACAGG
rnacentral:rRNA from 1 species